rnacentral:rRNA from 1 species
GUCGAGAAUCUUCCGCAAUGCGCGAAAGCGUGACGGAGCGACACCGCGUGAUGGAUGAAGUCCUUCGGGGCGUAAACAUCUUUUAUAAAGGAGGAAAUUUUUGACGUUACUUUAUGAAUAAGGGGCUCCCAAUCUCGUGCCAGCAGGAGCGGUAAUACGAGAGCCUCAAGCGUUAUCCGGAAUCAUUGGGCGUAAAGGGUGCGUAGGUGGUUUGAUUAGUCUCCCGUUAAAACUUCGAGCUUAACUCGAAAAGAGCGGGGGAAACGGUCAAACUAGAGUAUGUGAGAGGUGUGUGGAACUCAUGGUGUAGGGGUGAAAUCCAUUGAUAUCAUGGGGAACACCAAAAGCGAAGGCAGCACACUGGCACAUCACUGACACUGAGGCACGAAACCUAAGGUAGCGAAUGGGAUUAGAUACCCGGGUAGUCC